CCAUCAACCAUGAGACUCACUUUUAAUUUAAGGAGGCCAGAACAUCUAAAUAAGCGCACAACUUUCUGUGGAACAAGCGAGUGGACAGGAUGGAUUUCUGCAGUGCGCUGUUAUGCUUUGGGAAGGGAGGAAAGCAUCAGUUCCCUCGGAGGCCAGCCAACGUGUCUGAGGGUUUUAAGACAGCAAGUUCGGAAUGUAGUGACUCUGCUGUAACCACAGCUGAGUGAAGAAGCUGUCAUCAUCAGGAUCCCACUUCACAGUGUAAGCUUCUAUAUCCCGACAUGAAGAAAUAAUAUGGCAUUCAUUUGUCUGUCUCUGUCUGGGGGAUGAACGGAGAGGUGGAAGAAGAUAAAGACACCUCCAAACAAGGAGUGAACUUUAUACAUGAAGAUGAUAAAGCCCAUGACGGGUGACAGACGCAGUAAGGAAUUACUUCAGGAAGCACCUCAAUUAUGACUCACUACUUUAAAAAGACUUAAUUGCAAGUGAGUAAGCCAGAGUUGCGCAGGCGCCAUUCAGGACGGUAACCCGCCCAUGGCCACACAUCGAUUUCAGAAAGUAAACACACACUUCUCUUGGCUCCCAUUCCUAUUGCUUUCUUAAAAAGUGAAAGCUUUGUUAUCCACAGUAUCUUCACGUUGUCCAAAUAGACCUAGUAAGCAUAAGGGACAGACAUAUGGCCCACUUUGGACCAAUCAAAUGGAGGACCCAAGGAGGUAAUGAUUCACCCGAGAUCUAAGACUAGAAUGGGAAUAUA
rnacentral:lncRNA from 1 species